GUGCUUGCUUCGGCAGCACAUAUAGUAAAAUUGGAAUGAUACAGAAAAGAUUAGCAUGGCCCCUGUGCAAGGAUGACACGCAAAUACUUGAUGGCUUAUUGUU
ensembl:snRNA U6 U6 spliceosomal RNA